UCUCGACCGGGGGCGACAGCAAUAUGAAGGUCAGGCUGAAGACCUUACCCGAUUAGCUGAGAGGUGGUGCAUGGCCGUCGUCAGUUCGUACUGUGAAGCAUCCUGUUAAGUCAGGCAACGAGCGAGACCCACGUCCACAGUUGCCAGCAUACCCUCCGGGGUGAUGGGUACACUGUGGAGACCGCCGCUGCUAAAGCGGAGGAAGGAGUGGGCAACGGUAGGUCAGUAUGCCCCGAAUCUCCCGGGCUACACGCGAGCUACAAUGGUUGGUACAAUGGGCAUCUACCCCGAAAGGGGAAGGAAAUCUCUUAAAGCCAAUCGUAGUUCGGAUUGAGGGCUGCAACUCGCCCUCAUGAAGCUGGAAUCCGUAGUAAUCGCGUUUCAACAGAACGCGGUGAAUACGUCCCUGCUCCUU
rnacentral:rRNA from 1 species